rnacentral:tRNA from 1 species
GGGGGUAUAGCUCAGUUGGAAGAGCGCCGCCUUUGCACGGCGGAGGUCAGCAGUUCGAGCCUGCUUACCUCCA